UAUCAUAUCAUAGAAAGAAAAAUAAUCACAAAAACACACACAUUUAAACAAAACAAAUAAAAAAAAAAAAAAACAAAAACCAAAAACCAAAAAAAUCUAGCCUCAUUCCCUCGCAUAACAACAGCAGUCUUUUCCUUGAACCACCAACAACAAUGUCUUCCGGCGCCAUUGACGACCCUUCCACCACCACAACAACCUUCUCUCAACCACCACAACACUACUUCUGCUAUCAAUGCAAUCGCACCGUCUCUCUCUCUCCUUCUUCUUCUUCCUCCGACGAGCUCGCUUGCCCCCAUUGCAAUGGCGGUUUCCUAGAAGAAGUCGAAAACCCUAACCCUUCUUCUUAUUCUUCUUCCUCUCCUUUCGCUCAAUUCUUCUCUCCUCCUCCUUCUGCUUCCGCUGCCGAUCAUCUUGCACCCUUUGCCCCCUUCUUCUUCCCCCCUUCUUCUUCUUCCGCCGCUUCUCCUAUUGAGCCUAUCGACCUCUCCGCCAUCUUCGGGGGUGGAGCUUUUGGAGGUUCUGGUAAUGGCGGAAAUGGUGGUAAUCAGAGAUCCCCUUUUCAGGAAACCGAUGUUUUCAACCCUUUUCAAUUUCUUCAGAGUUAUCUUCAGACUAUGCGAGCUGGGGGUGCUAACAUUCAAUUUGUUAUUGAGAAUGCUAACCCUGAACAAGGUGGCGGUGGUGGGAAUUUUAGGUUACCCUCGAAUUUGGGGGACUAUUUCUUUGGACCAGGGUUGGAGCAGUUGAUUCAGCAGCUAGCGGAGAAUGAUCCGAAUCGAUACGGUACGCCACCGGCCUCGAAAACCGCUGUGGAGGGGCUGCCUAUUGUUAAAGUAACGGAGGAAUUGCUGUUGUCUGACUCUUCACAAUGCGCUGUUUGUAUGGAUGAGUUUCAGCUUGGUGCUGAAGCUAAACAGAUGCCUUGUAAACAUGUUUUUCAUUCUGAUUGUAUUCUUCCUUGGUUGGAGUUGCAUAAUUCUUGCCCUGUUUGCCGGCACGAGCUGCCUACCGAUGAUCCUGAUUAUGAGCAGAGGAUUCGGAACCGGAGGGAGAAUCUGGGAUCUGGUGAUGGUGCUGGUGGCGGUGAUAAUGGUGAUGUGGGUGGUAAUGGUAAUAGAAUUGGUGGUGAUGGGGUGUCGUCUGAAACGGGUUCGCAGAAUGAUCGGACUGUGGAGAGGAGUUUUAACAUUUCGUUGCCUUGGCCGUUUAGAAAUGUUGGGUCUUCAGCCGAGGGGAGUAAUGCUUCCGGUGAUGGUAAUGAGGCGAACCCGAGGAGGAGGGGGAAUCCAGACUUUGGAUCAGAAACCCGAACAGAAGACCUUGAUUAAUGCUUGUGUGAUUUAGUGCAGGGUUGCAUAGUAGGACAGAUUGGAGGCUUGGAGCUCUAGAAAAAUACCGUGUGCUGAGUGCAUACUCUUUGGUCUAUCUCCUGGGUGCAUCUGUUAGAUUUGGCAGAAAUACAAUUGUUUUUAUACAGUGAAGAUUAGCUGAGAUACAUUCUUACCUUUAAUGGUAAUAAUUGUAGGUAAACUGUAUACUCGUUCAUGGUUCAAAAUUAUCUCAAUAUAGACUCAAAACAAAUGUGGCCCUUGAAAAAUUUUGUAUUUUAAUGUGUAUUCUAUACAGAAUAUGAUAUUAUGCUGUUUGGCCCCUGCUUUCUA